GUAAGGCAGGGGAAGGAGAAGAAUGGUGGACCAGAGAGGAGGAAGCAUGGGGUGGAGGAGAAUGGAAAAUGAAUCCUGGGAGAAGUUCUCUUCUAGUGGCCCAGGAGGAGGUUCAGCGUCAAGCGACUGAGGAGUCCUGCAGCACCGUAAAGACUAACAGAUUUCUUUGGAGAGAAGCUUUCGUGGGCAAAAACACAACUGGGGCACCGUAAAGGCUUCAGCCUUGUCGACACUAAAAGGCAGAUCGCUGCUGCCACGAUGGAUCUUCCAGAGUUUGAUUUAGAUGAGACGAUGAACAGCUGCCUACAGCUCCCGCCUGCUUUGCUCCUUCCUGACUCACCUGGUUCAGUUCCCACCUUUGGACCCGGCGGUUCCUCAUUUAAACCUCUGCUGUGAUCUUGCGCAGGAUUCACCAACGUAAUCUAGACACGAGAUAGGGAUUCCAUGAAUCGAGCAGACCUGGUCCCAUCUCUGGCCACCAAUGAGCACUUCUACAAAUGUCCUAUGAAGUCUCAUCUUGCUGUUUUCAAGAGUUGGCUGCCAUCUUCAUGGAGUGCAACUUCCUUGGCUAUUUAUUAUUGCUUGUGUUGCAGUAGUACUGGAAAUCAAGGGUGAGGGCCCCAUGGUGCAAGCCACUGAACAAACUCAUGGUGAAAAGCAUGCCCUGCCCUGACAAGCUUGCAAAGUAUGGUGGCCAUGAACAAUGCUAGAUCAUGAGCUGGGAUGUGGUGCAGCACGUAAUCUUCCUCCAAAUUCACAAGUGUUCAAACCUGGAACAGCUGGUUGGCCACAAACAACAGCUCAGGAGCCACACUUUGGAAAGCUGAGGGGGCAUUUCUGGAUCUGAUGUUCUGGUUGAAGACCAUCUCUAGUCAACACAUGGUGGUUUCACCCUUCCUACUUUCUCCCUCCCCUCGGUCUGGUCUUGUCUAAUUAUCCAUUUAGUUUCAAAAUGCCAGAGAUGAGCUUGCAAAUCUGGUCUAAUUUAGGGAUAAGCUCUGCUGUUUUGUGGUGCCCAAAGCCAUAAACUGCUGCUGAGAUUAAUAGCUCAUAUUUAGCCAAAACCGCCCAAAGCUGUUUCAUGCCAGUGUGCUACAAUGCUGCUGAGGUGAUAGCAGUUUAUACAACAAAUUGAUACGUCAAUAAAAAACUUUUCUUUCCCUUGUUAGGGUUGGAAAAUGCUACUUGCAUUGGUUCUUGGAGCUUUCCGAUGAUCUUGGAUCUGAUAUCCUUGGCUGAAUCCCAGAGAAAGUCCAAAAUGGUCACUUUAUUUUUUGCUGAGAAAUUUGAAUUUUGUGUGUGCACGUGCACGUUUAUGGUCGUUUGCUGUGAGAAUUUGUUGGUUAUGAUGAACAAUUGAAAUAUAUAACUAAAAAAAAAUAGUUUCCAUUGAAAAAAUGGCAAGUUCUGAAGGAAAUGAA